rnacentral:lncRNA from 1 species
UAAGGUUUGAUUUAAGAUUUAGAAUUUUUUAAGAAUUAGGAUUUAUUUAAGAUUUGAUUUAAGGUUUAAGUUUUUUAUAGGAUUUGAUUUAAGAUUUAGGAUUUAUGUAGGAUUUGAUUUAGGAUUUAAGAUUUGUUUAGGACUCAAAGUUUAUCUAAGGUUUGAUUUAGGAUUUAAGAUUUGAUUAGGAUUUGAUCCAAGAUUUAAUUAAGAUCUAUUUGAGUUUCAAUUA